AUUGAACGCUGGCGGCAGGCCUAACACAUGCAAGUCGAGCGAGUGGCGGACGGGUGAGUAAUGUCUGGGAAACUGCCUGAUGGAGGGGGAUAACUACUGGAAACGGUAGCUAAUACCGCAUACCAUCAGAUGUGCCCAGAUGGGAUUAGCUUUUUGGUGGGGUAAAGGCUCACCCAGGCGAAGAUCCCUAGCUGGUCUGAGAGGAUGACCAGCCAUACUGUAACUGAGACACGGUCCAGACUCCUACGGUAGGCAGCAGUGGGGAAUAUUGCACAAUGGGCGCAAGCCUGAUGCAGCCAUGCCGCGUGUAUGAAGAAGGCCUUCGGGUUGUAAAGUACUUUCAGCGAGGAGGCGUUACCCGCAGAAGAAGCACCGGCUAACUCCGUGCCAGCAGCCGCGGUAAUAC
rnacentral:rRNA from 1 species